rnacentral:rRNA from 1 species
AGUGAACGCUGGCGGCGUGCUUAGCACAUGCAAGUCGAACGAGAACGGAAUAUAGCUUGCUAUAUUUGUCAGCUAAGUGGCGCACGGGUGAGUAAUGUAUAGAUAACCUGCCCUUAAGAAAGGAAUAACAGUUGGAAACGACUGCUAAUGCCCUAUAUGCCUUUAAUACAUAAGUAUGCAAGGGAAACGCUUUAGUGCUUAAGGAUGGGUCUGUAUGGUAUCAGCUUGUUGGUGAGGUAAUGGCUCACCAAGGCUAUGACGCCUAACUGGUUUGAGAAGAUUAUCAGUCACACUGGAACUGAGACACGGUCCAGACUCCUACGGGAGGCAGCAGUGGGGAAUAUUGCACAACGGACGAAAGUCUGAUGCAGCAACGCCGCGUGGAGGAUGACACAUUUCGGUGCGUAAACUCCUUUUAUAUAGGAAGAUAAUGACGGUACUAUAUGAAUAAGCACCGGCUAACUCCGUGCCAGCAGCCGCAGUAA